CGGCAGCCCGAGUGGUGAUCACUAUUAUUGGGUCUAAAGGGUCCGUAGCCGGUUUGAUCAGUCUUUUGGGAAAUCUGACAGCUUAACUGUUAGGCUUCCAAAGGAUACUGUCAGACUUGGGACCGGGAGAGGUAAGAGGUACUACAGGGGUAGGAGUGAAAUCUUGUAAUCCCUGUGGGACCACCAGUGGCGAAGGCGUCUUACCAGAACGGGUCCGACGGUGAGGGACGAAAGCUGGGGGCACGAACCGGAUUAGAUACCCGAGUAGUCC
rnacentral:rRNA from 1 species